UACGUAGGGGCCUAGCGUUGUCCGGAUUUAUUGGGCGUAAAGCGCGCGUAGGUGGCCCGGUAAGUCCGCUCUGAAAGUCACAGGCUCAACCUGUGAAAGCGGGUGGAUACUGCCGGGCUAGAGUCCGGAAGAGGCGAGUGGAAUUCCUGGUGUAGCGGUGGAAUGCGCAGAUAUCAGGAGGAACACCAACGGCGAAGGCAGCUCGCUGGGACGGUACUGACACUGAGGCGCGAAAGCGUGGGGAGCGAACAGG
rnacentral:rRNA from 1 species